GACGAACGCUGGCGGCGUGCUUAACACAUGCAAGUCGAACGGAGUGGCGAACGGGUGAGUAACACGUGGGUGAUCUGCCUUGCACUUCGGGAUAAGCUUGGGAAACUGGGUCUAAUACCGGAUAGUGCAAGAUGAGCUCGCGGCCUAUCAGCUGGUUGGUGGGGUAAUGGCCUACCAAGGCGUCGACGGGUAGCCGGCCUGGGAGGGUGUACGGGCACAUGGGGACUGAGAGACGGGCCAGACUCGUACGGGAGGCAGCAGUGGGGAAUCUUGCCCAAUGGGCGGACGCCUGAUGCAGCGACGCUGCGUGGGGGAUGAAGGCCUGCGGGUUGUAAACUCGGUUGGACAUGAACGCGGUACCUGUAUAGAAAGCACCGGCUAACUACGUGCCAGCAGCCGCGGUAAUAC
rnacentral:rRNA from 1 species